rnacentral:rRNA from 1 species
UUCAACGGCCGCGGUAUCCUAACCGUGCAAAGGUAGCGUAAUCACUUGUCUUCUAAAUAAAGACCUGUAUGAACGGCUAAAUGAGGGCUAACCUGUCUCCCCUAACCAAUCAGUGAAACUGAUCUACCAGUACAAAAGCUGGAAUAACACCAUAAGACGAGAAGACCCUGUGGAGCUUUAAAUUUCCAACCAAAACAACCAAACAAAGUAUUUCAUGGUGAUAGAUUUUAAGUUGGGGCGACUUCGGAACAAAACAAAACUUCCGAGCAUAAAGACUUGUCUUACCUAGACCCACAAGUCAAAGCAAAACUUGGUCCAGUAUACACUGAUUACCGAACCAAGUUACCCCAGGGAUAACAGCGCAAUCUUCUUCAAGAGUCCAUAUCGACAAGAAGGUUUACGACCUCGAUGUUGGAUCAGGACACCCCAAUGGUGURGCCGCURUUAAAGGUUC